rnacentral:rRNA from 1 species
ACGUGAGUAACCUGCCCUUGACUUCGGGAUAACUCCGGGAAACCGGGGCUAAUACCGGAUAUGAGCCGCCUUCGCAUGGGGGUGGUUGGAAAGUUUUUCGGUCAGGGAUGGGCUCGCGGCCUAUCAGCUUGUUGGUGGGGUGAUGGCCUACCAAGGCGACGACGGGUAGCCGGCCUGAGAGGGCGACCGGCCACACUGGGACUGAGACACGGCCCAGACUCCUACGGGAGGCAGCAGUGGGGAAUAUUGCACAAUGGGCGAAAGCCUGAUGCAGCGACGCCGCGUGAGGGAUGAAGGCCUUCGGGUUGUAAACCUCUUUCAGCAGGGAAGAAGCGCAAGUGACGGUACCUGCAGAAGAAGCGCCGGCUAACUACGUGCCAGCAGCCGCGGUAAUACGUAGGGCGCAAGCGUUGUCCGGAAUUAUUGGGCGUAAAGAGCUCGUAGGCGGUUUGUCGCGUCUGGUGUGAAAACUCGAGGCUCAACCUCGAGCUUGCAUCGGGUACGGGCAGACUAGAGUGCGGUAGGGGAGA